rnacentral:rRNA from 1 species
GAUGAACGCUGGCGGCGUGCCUAACACAUGCAAGUCGAGCGAUCUUCUUCGGAAGAGAGCGGCGGACGGGUGAGUAACGCGUGGGUAACCUGCCCUAUACACAUGGAUAACAUACCGAAAGGUAUGCUAAUACAGGAUAAUAUGUUUUGAUCGCAUGGUCGAAAUAUCAAAGCUCCGGCGGUAUAGGAUGGACCCGCGUCUGAUUAGCUAGUUGGUAAGGUAAUGGCUUACCAAGGCGACGAUCAGUAGCCGACCUGAGAGGGUGAUCGGCCACAUUGGAACUGAGACACGGUCCAAACUCCUACGGGAGGCAGCAGUGGGGAAUAUUGCACAAUGGGCGAAAGCCUGAUGCAGCAACGCCGCGUGAGCGAUGAAGGCCUUCGGGUCGUAAAGCUCUGUCCUCAAGGAAGAUAAUGACGGUACUUGAGGAGGAAGCCCCGGCUAACUACG